AUGGAGGAGGUGAACCGCAACGAGCUACAAUGGAGCCGCUGCCCUACCCAGCUGUGGCGACAGGAGCCGAAGAGCUGCCCCCAAUGGCCACAGGUAGCGUUGACGGGCAGGUUUGUGCGGCGGUUGUGGCAGCCGAUAGGCCAAAUUGAUCCAAAAACUCCUGGCUGGACUCGCAGGUGUGGUGUAUGUGAGCUCUACCCCGGAGAAUCGUACGAGAGGUCCAGCUGUCUCUCCGGCAAGGCAGUGGCAGAAGAGACGACCAUGUCCUCUGCAUCGGAGAGCUCUUACAGCGAUGCAGUCGGUAGGAGCAGUGAGCCAGUGAUCAACCUGGACCAGGCGCUCCAAGUUAGGGCUGCAGGGGAGUCUUCAUGUGCAGCUAAUCGUCGAGGCGGUCCUGCAGCAGGAGGCACCCAGGCACACAUGCUUCAGGUGCAUCAGGUGGCAAUGGCACUGAAGAUUGGGGAGGGCAACAAUCAGGGUGCUGAACGCAAUGUCAGAGGUUCAGGUGCUGACUCGGGGCGGAUGAUGAGCAACUUAAGGUUCCGCAGCAAACGGACAAGGUUCUGCAGCAUAUGUCGGCGGCAGGGGCACAAGAGGACUACGUGCCCGGACAGGGGUGAUGCCCCAAAGCCUGUUCGCAAGCCAGCGAGGUGCAAAAAGUGUGGAAUCGAAGGGCACAGGCGAAACAACUGCCACAAAGUGGGUGAUCUGCGGAUGAUUGGGUUGUGA
rnacentral:rRNA from 1 species